CCCACUCCCAACCCAAGAACGUCUGCUGUCUGUAGCAGCUAUUUAACCAGUGGUGUGCACAGCAGAGGAGGCCUUGCCACCUUUGAGGGGGGGGGCUAUGAUAUGCUCCUGCCAGAGUGAAUUAGGAACUUUCACAGCC